CGCGUAGGCGGUCUGUUAAGUGUAGAGUGAAAUCUCCAGGGCUCAACCCGGAAACUGCUCUGCAUACUGGCAGACUGGAGGGUCGAAGAGGUAUGUGGAAUUCCCGGUGUAGCGGUGAAAUGCGUUGAUAUCGGGAGGAACACCCAUGGCGAAGGCAGCAUACUGGUCGACAUCUGACGCUGAGGCGCGAAAGCGUGGGUAGCAAACAGGAUUAGAUACCCUGGUAGUCCACGCCCUAAACGAUGGAUACUAGGCGUAAGGGGUAUCGACCCCCCUUGUGCCGCAGCUAACGCACUAAGUAUCCCGCCUGGGGACUACGGCCGCAAGGUUGAA
rnacentral:rRNA from 1 species